rnacentral:rRNA from 1 species
AGCGAACGCUGGCGGCGUGCUUAACACAUGCAAGUCGAGCGAAGGUGUUUCAAGGGUAACCUUGAGAUACACUUAGCGGCGGACGGGUGAGUAAUACGUGGAUAACUUACCUCUAGGCCUGGGAUAACCCCGGGAAACUGGGGCUAAUACCUGAUAAGACCACAUUGUCUACGGACAAAGGGGUAAAAGGUGGCUGUGCAAACAGCUAUCGCCAAAAGAUAGGUUCACGUCCCAUCAGGCAGUGGUGAGGUAAUGGCUCACCAAACCAAAGACGGGUAGCCGGCCUUGGCGGGUGAACGGCCACACGGGGACUGAGACACGGCCCCGACUCCUACGGGAGGCAGCAGUGGGGAAUAUUGGGCAAUGGGCGCAAGCCUGACCCAGCGACGUCGCGUUGGGGAAGAAGG